CUUGACUGUAUCUUGGAAUUGGGUUCGGGCUUUUCUUGCGCAGUCUAGGUGGGAGGCAUUGAAGAUUUCCUUCUGGGGAAGUUGGAGCCGUCAGUGAGAGACCACUCUGGAGAGGCUAGAAUUCUAAUGGUGAUCCUUUUUAUCAGGACGCUUAACAUUUUCAGGUGGGCAGUUUACUUGGGGCGAGUGCCUCACAAAAGGUAACUGAGGCGCGCAAAGGUUCCCUCAGUCUGGACGGAAAUCAGACUUUAGAGUGUAAAGGCAAAAGGGAGCUUGACUGUAAGACCUACAAGUCAAACAGGGGCGAAAGCCGGCCUUAGUGAUCCGACGGUUCCGAGUGGAAGGGCCGUCGCUCAACGGAUAAAAGUUA
rnacentral:rRNA from 1 species